AUCGCACCCGUCGACACCCGCUUCUUUCAAGUCCGUUUUUUCUGUCUUCCUACAUCAAACGUGUGGAGGACUUCCUCCGCGGGGGCGAAUUUCAACUACGACUUUUAAAAGUUGUGGUCAACUGCCAUAAAUUCUUAGUUUGUGCUCAGACCGAAUUCUUUAGUGGCACAAGUGGUGACUCUUAGGUGAGCGAGGGCCAAAGGACUGCCGCCGACGGCAGCAGUGAAAAGGCCUCAGCGGCCCUCAGUACGUCUCUGAUUGACCUGCGACGGGCGGCGUCCAGGGAGGCCUUUGCCGGCGUGAAAGGAACGUGCGGUUCAGUUCUUCCAGGUGAAGAUUUUGAACCCACAACCUAAUAUUUGAGCACAGUCGCCCGUUAGGAAAACAAAAGAUUUCAAACAACAAAAAUAAGUGAAGACUGGAUCACAAUCGCAAUUUUGUUGUGUGUGUGUGUGUGUGAGUGGUUUAUUUUCCAAAAGACAAUUUUAAGUUUUUAAAUACCGCUGGACAUGUACCUGCCAGAGAGAUUACUAUCAUUGGGAAAGAAAAGAUGAAAGGAUUUACGCAACAAAAAAAGAGAGAAUCGUUGCUACGUUAUGGGAGAGAACUGCCAACAAGUACUGCUGAUUGGGGCCUAUUUUACUCAGUGCUGGUGUGUUGUUGUGCUUGUACAUAUAUGUCUUUUCAAUCAUCCCUUUUUUCCUCUUGGGGGGGUUGGGUAUCACGGCUGGGGGUGGGUCUUAUUCACAAAAGACAGGAGCAAAAAGAAUAGAGUAUUUUGUUAUUGUCCAAUCAGAGGGUGACAGUAUGUAUAUAUCUAUAUUGUAUAUAUGUGACGAAAAUGCGUUUGCUUUUUGUGUGACACUACCUUUUACCUGUACUAUGGUUCUACAUUCAGUGUUUUAGUGUUGAUAAUAUAUAUUUGGUUUGUGUUUUUAUUUUUCUGUUUUGUUUGAUUUUUGUCUUUGUCAUUUCUUGUAUUUUAUUUCUCCUAUUUGUCUUUUUUGUUUAUUGCACGGUUUAUUACUUUUGUUGUCCAAUUAGGUGACACAGCUACUCUUUGUAUUCGUUUAGUGCUGUAAAAUAACUCAAGUGUUAUUAGAAUUGUCGAUACCAGCGCCCACCCCUCCCCCUUCCCCAAUAUGCAUGAAUGGCACUUAAAGAAAUAAAAUAUGGUAACUUCACUGUGGAAUAAUGUGCUGUUUGAGCUUUUUUGUUCUGAAGACUUUUGGCAAUAUUACAAGGCAGGACAUGUUCAACACUAGAGUAUGAAGGUGGGGAGGAAAACCUCUAACUAAAUAAGCAAAAACCAUGAACGACUAAACGACUAAAACCAUUAAACUCCAAUAUGCGGCUUUGUGCACUGGGAAGUAGAACAUGAUGUUUACCUUCAUAUACCUGUGUUGAUAGUCAAACCUAUUCAACUGUUUUUAAGAACGUAUUAAAGCAGUCAGAUCUUCUAUGCAGGACGAGGAACAGCUGAAGACGUCCAUGUGAGCAUAUCUCAAUUGCGGCACCAGUCAGACUGCUGCGUCUGAGAGAGUUGAGAACUCUGGUGAAUGAAAAGACGGACGCCAUGCUCAAAGCUUGCUCUCUAGUGGUGCUGACGCUGGUCCUCCAUCUACAGCUAUGCUCAUCAGCACCGACGCCUGCCAAAGUUGUUCAGGUGCGUGGAGCAAGACCAGAGGAACCUGCACCAGUAACUGAAGACCUCAGUAACCUUAUGGAGGAAAAAGAAGCAGACGAUGAGAAAGUCCUUACAGCUGUUCCGGGUCAAGCAGCGCCGUCUCCUGAUGAGGAAAACAUGUUUAUUGCCAAAGAACCAGAACCAAUUUCCAGUGAAGAUCACAUCUCUGAUGAUGAUUUUCUUGAAGCAGGUGAAUUAGCUUCCCAGGAGCCUUCGGCUGGAGCCCACCAUGAAUCUUCAGAGGAUGAAACUGUGUCUGAAGAAGCUGCCUUCGUGGAGUCAUCUCCAGAGGAAGCUACGGACAACAUCGCCCCAGCUGUUGCUUUUGAGAGUGAACAUUUUGUGGAGAAUACAGCUCCAAAAGAAGAGGAUUAUUUUGUUCCGGUUCCUGCAGAACUUGAGCGAGAAGAGGCCGGUCAAUGGGAAACCGCUGCAGAGGAACAUGCUUUAUUCGUUCCUGCUGACCCCGCCGAAGAGGACCUGAAUCGAGAGGAAACCGUCUUGAUCAUUGUGGAUCAAAAUGGAGGUACAGUUGAACCUGCUGCAGAACAAACGGCAUCGCAAGUGCCAUCCCCAGAAGAUCUGGUUGACUUUGCCCCUUUGGGUCCAACUAAAGUAGAGAAGGAGCUGAGAGAACAAGUUGUAGAAGAAUCAAUCCCCGUAGUUUCCCCAGAAGCACCAAAAGAAGAUGCUGCAGAGGGUCUGGUCCAAAUAGUCCCAGAAGAGGACCCUGCUACGAUGGAAGAAGCUCUCGCUGGUCCACCAAAAGACGAGCUGUCUGUCAGUGACACAGAAGAAAAAGGUCAAGUGGAACUGGCUGCAGAAGAAACAUCACCAGUCCUGGAAGAACCAGCUCUGCCUGGAAGGUCCAAAAGAUGAUGCUCCAGAGAACAACGUAGAAGUAGACGCCGACCCAUCAGAUACACAGGAAACUACCCCAGAAGAGGUCGCAGCAGGUGACAGCACGUCAGAUCUACUACUCACAUCUGUCACUGAGAGUGACUCCAAUCCAACGGGGGAAGUCCAAGACGCUGCGACCGAGAUCUUGACAGAAUCCCUGAUUGAAGCCGUCAAGUUCAGGGCUCUACGCUAAUGUUUUCCCCAAGGAGUACAUGUGCUCCUAAAUGAAAGAAUUCAAGAGCACACAAGAAAU
ensembl:lncRNA